rnacentral:rRNA from 1 species
GACGAACGCUGGCGGCGUGGAUUAGGCAUGCAAGUCGCGCGACGACCUUCGGGUACGGAGCGGCGAACGGGUGAGUAACACGUGAGAAACCUACCGCAUCAUUCCGGAUAAUUGAUCGAAAGGUCUUGUAAUACGGGGGAGGUUCGUUGAUGGGCAUCCAUUGACGAACGAACGAGUAAUCGGUGCUGUGAUGGUCUCGC